UACGGAGGGUGCAAGCGUUAAUCGGAAUUACUGGGCGUAAAGCGCACGCAGGCGGUCUGUCAAGUCGGAUGUGAAAUCCCCGGGCUCAACCUGGGAACUGCAUUCGAAACUGGCAGGCUAGAGUCUUGUAGAGGGGGGUAGAAUUCCAGGUGUAGCGGUGAAAUGCGUAGAGACCUGGAGGAAUACCGGUGGCGAAGGCGGCCCCCUGGACAAAGACUGACGCUCAGGUGCGAAAGCGUGGGGAGCAAACAGG
rnacentral:rRNA from 1 species